CAAAUGGGCGAAAGCCUGAUGUAGCAACGCCGCGUGUGCGAUGAAGGUCUUCGGAUUGUAAAGCACUUUUUGGAGGGAUGAGGAAGGACAGUACCUCCAGAAUAAGCCUCGGCUAACUACGAGCCAGCAGCCGCGGUAACACGUAGGGGGCAAGCGUUAUUCGGAUUUACUGGGCGUAAAGCGCGUGCAGGCGGUUUGGAAAGUUGGAUGUGAAAGCUCCUGGCUCAACUGGGAGAGGUCGUUCAAAACUACCAGACUUGAGAAGGGUAGGGGAAGGUGGAAUUACGUGUGUAGUGGUGAAGUGCGUAGAUAUCCGGGAGAACACGAGUGGCGAAAGCGGCCUCCUGGACCACUU
rnacentral:rRNA from 1 species